rnacentral:rRNA from 1 species
AUUGAACGCUGGUGGCAUGCCUUACACGUGCAAGUCGAACGGAAACAGGUUAAGCUGACGAGUGGCGAACGAGUGAGUAAUAUAUCGUAACGUGUCCAUCCGUGGGGGACAACGUCUCGAAAGCUACGCUAAUACCGCAUACGCCCUACGGAUGACAACGGGGGACCGCAAGACCCCGCGCGAUCGCAUCAGCCGAUAUCAGAUUAUGUUGUUGGUGAGGUAAAAGCUCACCAAGCCUGCGAUCUGUAGCUGGUCUGAGAGGACGACCAGCCACUCUGGAACUGAGACACGGUCCAGACUACUACGGAAGGCAGCAGUGGGGAAUUUUGGACAAUGGACGCAAGUCUGAUCCAGCAAUGCCGCGUGCAGGACGAAGGCCUUCGGGUUGUAAACUGCUUUUGUACGGAACGAAACGGUGAGCUCUAAUACAGUUUGCUAAUGACGGUACCGUAAGAAUAAGCACCGGCUAACUACGUGCCAGCCGCCGCCGUAA